UACAGAGGUCCCAAGCGUUGUUCGGAUUCACUGGGCGUAAAGGGUGCGCAGGUGGCUGGGUAAGUUUGAUGUGAAAGCCCCGGGCUUAACCCGGGAAUGGCAUUGAAUACUAUUCGGCUGGAGGAUUGGAGGGGGGACUGGAAUUCUUGGUGUAGCAGUGAAAUGCGUAGAGAUCAUGAGGAAGACCAGUGGCGAAGGCGGGUCUCUGGACAGUUCCUGACACUGAGACACGAAGGCCAGGGGAGCAAACGGG
rnacentral:rRNA from 1 species